UUCGGUGAGGAGCGGCAGACGGGUGAGUAACGCGUGGGAACAUACCUAAUAGUACGGAAUAACGAUUGGAAACGAUCGCUAAUACCGUAUACGCCCUUCGGGGGAAAGAUUUAUCGCUAUUAGAUUGGCCCGCGUUGGAUUAGCUAGUUGGUGAGGUAACGGCUCACCAAGGCGACGAUCUAUAGCUGGUCUGAGAGGAUGAUCAGCCACACUGGGACUGAGACACGGCCCAGACUCCUACGGGAGGCAGCAGUGGGGAAUAUUGGACAAUGGGCGCAAGCCUGAUCCAGCCAUGCCGCGUGAGUGAUGAAGGCCUUAGGGUUGUAAAGCUCUUUCGCUAGGGAAGAUAAUGACGGUACCUAGUAAAGAAGCCCCGGCUAACUUCGUGCCAGCAGCCGCGGUAAUACGAAGGGGGCUAACGUUGUUCGGAUUUACUGGGCGUAAAGCGUACGUAGGCGGAUUAGUAAGUUAGGGGUGAAAUCCCGAGGCUCAACCUCGGAACUGCCUUUAAUACUGCUAAUCUAGAGAUCGGGAGAGGUGUAUGGAACUCCUAGUGUAGAGGUGGAAUUCGUAGAUAUUAGGAAGAACACCAGUGGCGAAGGCG
rnacentral:rRNA from 1 species